rnacentral:rRNA from 1 species
AACGCGAAGAACCUUACCUGGCCUUGACAUGUUAGGAAUCCUGCAGAAAAGAGGGAGUGCCCUAAGGGAACCGAACACAGGUGCUGCAUGGCGGUCGUCAGCUCGUGUCUUGAGAUGUUGGGUUAAGUCCCCCAACGAGCGCAACCCCUUUCUUUUGUUCCCACCGGGUAAGGCCGGGCACUUUAAGGAGACUGCCGGUGAAAAACCGGAGGAAGGUGGGGAUGACGUCAAGUCAUCAUGGCCCUUAUGCCCAGGGCUACACACGUGUUACAAUGGCCGGUACAAAGGGUUGCAAACCCGCGAGGGGAAGCAAAUCCCAAAAACCCGUUCUCAGUCCGGAUUGCAGUCUGCAACUGGACUCCAUGAAGUGGGAAUCGCUAGUAUCGCGAUCAGCA